GGAGAUAGCUCAGUGGUGGAGUGCUUGCCUAGCAUGCAAGAAGUUCUGGGUUCAACUCUAAACACCA
rnacentral:tRNA from 1 species